GAAGAAAGAAAAAAUUAAAAAUAGAAAAAAUAAAAAUAAAAUAUAUAUAUAUAAAUAAUAAAAAUUAAUGAUAGUUCCUCCAAGAAAAUGAUGAGAAAAAAAAAAGGCACCAACCACAAAAAUAUCAUUCUUGUAUAUAUGCAGAAAUAUACAUCUAUAUGUAUGACUUAGGGAUCAACUUUCGUAGGAAUACAUUUAUAAUACAAUAUACUUUCUGGACACCAGGUGGCGCUGCGAGUGGUUCCCAGGUUUAUACCUGAUUGACCAUUUAUACUGUUACCACGGUAACUAUCCUACGUGGCAAAUCGCCAUUUUGGCGUUUCUGUAAAAGUUUUUUUACCUAAUUGUUGGGCAACCUCAGCUGCUCUGUUCCAGACAGCACUCCUAUCUGACCUCCCAACUCAUUGCAGGAGUCCACGCUUCACAAAUCUUUCCACUCUGCUCCUGCAUUCUCCUGCAAACUGGUAACCACAAUUGGAGGGUGCUGGCUGCUGCAGCUGCAGCGCACGAAGAACUUAUCCUCAGUUUUUGUGGCUCUGGAGUUUUGAGUCCAGCCACUUGCCAGUUCGCCACACAGCCUGAACUGCCAGCCCACACCAAUAUUCCCCACCAGGAAUGGUCUGGUCUAUUUAAUCACUCCUGUUGUUCUGGGGGAAGGUGCCCGCCAUUUCAGAGAAUUCAAAAUGUCUGUUUCCAGGGUGGGAUCCCUUCCCUUCAAUUUUCCCUUCAAUUUUCCAUCAGGUUACUUAGUUCCUUCUGAUUCUGAGUGGCUCUCCCUUGGGUGCCAAACUCUGCUCAGGAAUAAAUUUUCAUCAGUUGAAUUUUGCCAGGAAUUGCAAGCUGCUAUCCUCUGUGAGGGAGGGGCCUGCCCGCCAGCACAGCCAAACAGGGAAAAUCUCUACAACAGAGUCCAUGGUUUUAAAUUACACCUCAUAUACAACAAUCCGCCAAUUCACUGCGCGUCUCCAGCUGUCUGUCCACACCAAUAAUCCACGCAGGGAAAAGGUCCAGACCCCCUUUCCUCUUACCUGAUGACUUGGGAGAGGUGGGCUACACGUCCGUCCCGUCCGCCAUCAUCCAUUAAAGAGAGACAAAUUUUUAAGUAACAGAGUAAAACCACUUGUAAUACUGACCAAAUAUGCAAGUGAUUUGGAAUUGAUAAGACAGCUAAUAAACAGGAAGAAAGAAUCAAGAACCAAAAGAAAUUUGAAUGGCUAGAACAAUGGUCCAAAUGAAAAAUUAGUUAACUAAAUACAUAUUCUGCAUUCUGUAAGUUCCAACCAGGUUUGGUAUCUCUUAUUAGAAAUGCUUGGGGCUUACAAAGUAUGGCCGGCGACCUUAGCUAGCGCUCGCUCUACUCCCUCUAAUGGGAAAGCAGCGGACUCCAGGAGACUGGACUGUAUCUGCCUCUAUUUCCAACAGACUCACGUUCUAUUUUUGCUCACAGAAAGAAGCUGUUGAAAUUUUAUUAGUCCUUUUUUUAAAAAAAGUUAAUAUAAAAUUAUAGCAAAAAAAGGAACCUGAACUUUAGUAACACAGCUGGAACAAUCCACAGCAGCGGCUGAAGAAGAGGUUUAAUUUAGUUGAUUUUCUGUGGUUGUUGGUUGUUCGCUAGUCUCACAGUGAUGGAAGCUGCACGUUUUUUCUAAGGGACGGAGAAGCUGCUGGAGGUUUGGUUCUCCUGGCAGCAACCUGACGCAAACCAAGGAUCUGGGGAUCUUCACACUAUCCCAAGAGCUGAGUGAGACAUACUUUUGAAGGAUGUGCAAUGUUCAAUCAUAAGUGUGACAAAAACUGACAAGCAGGAAGCUUAUGUACUCAGUGAGAGUAGCAUGUUUGUCUCCAAGAGACGUUUCAUUUUGAAGACAUGUGAUACCACCCUCUUGCUGAAAGCACUGGUUCCCCUGUUGAAGCUUGCUAGGGAUCACAGUGGGUUUGACUCGAUUCAAAACUUCUUUUAUUCUCGUAAGAAUUUCAUGAAACCUUCUCACCAAGGGUACCCACACAGGAAUUUCCAGGAAGAAAUAGAAUUUCUAAAUGCAAUUUUCCCAAAUGGGGCAACAUAUUAUAUGGGACGUAUGAAUUCUGACUGUUGGACUCAUAUACUCUGGAUUUCCCAGAGUGUCGAGUAAUCAGUCAGCCAGAUCAAACCCUGGAAAUUCUGAUGAGUGAGCUUAACCCAGCAGUUAUGGACCAGUUCUACAUCAAAGAUGGUAUUACUGCAAAGGAUGCCACUCGUGAGAGUGGAAUUCGUGACCUGAUACCAGAUUCUGUCAUUGAUGCCACAUUGUUCAAUCCUUGUGGGUAUUCAAUGAAUGGAAUAAAAUCGGAUGGAACUUAUUGGACUACUCACAUCAUUCCAGAACCAGAAUUUUCUUAUGUUAGCUUUGAAACAAACUUAAGUCAGACCUCCUAUGAUGACCUGAUCAGGAAAGUUGUGGAAGUCUUCAAGCCAGGAAAAUCUGUGACCACCCUGUUUGUUAAUCAGAGUUCUAAGUGUCGCACAGUGCUUUCUUCACCCCAGAAGAUUGAAGGCUUUAAACAUCUUGUCAGAGUGCUAUGUUCAAUGAUUACAAUUUUGUUUUAACCAGUUUUGCUAAGAAGCAGCAACAACAGCAGAGUUGAUUAAGAAAAAUGAAGAAAAAACGCAAAAAGUGAACACGUGUAGAAGGUAGUGGCUACUUUCUAGAUGUUAAUACUGGGGGCCAUACUUUCCAUAACCACCACCUUGUAGUUGCAGAAAGCCCUAGAUGUAAUGAUAGUGUAAUCAUUUUGAAGUGUAUGCAUUAUUAUAUCAAAGAGUUAGAUAUCUUGCAUGAAUGCUCUCUUCUGUGUUUAGGUAUUCUAUGCCACUCUUGCUGUGAAAUUGAAGUGCAUGUAGAAAAAACUUCUUACUAUAUGAAACGUUACAACACUUGUGAAAACAAUUCAAUUUGGUUUAUGCACAGUGUAAUAUUUCUCCAGGUAUCCUCCAAAAUUCCCCACAGACAAGGCUUUCGUCCUUAUUAGGUGUUGGCCUCAGCCUAACCAUCUGGGACUGUUCUUUUAAAUUGCUGCCAGAAUUUUACAUCCAGUUACCUCCACUUUCUAGAACUUACUUUUUACUAAUGUUACUGGGACAAUUUCUACUUCAUACAGGUGUUUUUUGCAACAGCAGUUAUUAAAGUUUUUCUUCCACAAAAAAAAAAGAAAAGAAAAGAAAUACUUGGAACCAGAAGUGGUUUAGAUUUCAGAUUUUUCCAAAUUUUAGAAUAUCUGCAUAUACAUAAUAAGCUAUCUUGGAGAUGGGACCCAAGCUUAAACAUGAUAUUCCAUUAUGUUUCAUAUAUACCUUAGACAUACAGCCCAAAGGUAAUUCAAUUUGUUUCUUUGGGGAUACUGAAUACACCGUUUUGUACAUCUGUGUUUUGAUGAAGACUCAACAUAUAGGUUAGGUGUAGAAUUUUCCACUUGUGGCAUCAUGCCACCCUUUAAAAAGUUUUGAAUUUUGGAGCAUUUCAGAUUAAGAUGCUCAACUUUGCAACAGAAUAAAUAUAUAAAUGCAUAUGGAAAGUAUGUACUGUCCAAAAGGUUAAUGCAAUACUGAACUACAUUAAUAGAAAUAUGUUAUUAUAACAUGGAAGUUUCUACUUCCUUCCACUCUGUUCCAAUUCUUAUCUGCAACACUUGGCUUAUGUCAAGGUAUCAUACUUUGGAACAUACUAUAAGGUAUCCCAAACAAAAACAUAAGAAUGGAAGAUAGACUCAUCAAAUGAAGAAUUAAAGAACUAGUGGCCAGGGAGAAAACUAGUAUUUAUUCAACACCUUUAUUCAAGGUAGAAUAUAUUAGGUACUUACAUAUAUACUAUUCACCUAAUCUUGACAACCAUCCUAUGAAAUAUCAUCCCCAUUUCACAGCUGAGAAAAGUGAAGCACAGAGAGAUUAACUACCCAGCUACAUGGUUAAUAAGGAGAAAUCUAAGCUUCAAACCAAAUAGUCUGCCUUUAAGUCCAUGUUCUUCUACUGUCUUACUCUGUUCACUCAGAAAAGUUUAUGGACUUCUCUAAGAAAAGGCAGAACAAGCAGUUUAAAAAUAGCUUCAAACCAAAUGGCUAUAAUAUGGAAACAGAUUAGAUUGGUAUAGAUUGAGCCCAAAGAAGCAAAGCCAAUAUCAGUGGUUGGAAGGUCAGAGAAACAAAGAGUGUCAGAAAACAAGAAGAAACUUACGAACAAAUCAGAGCAAAUCACAUAAAAGUCGAAGGGCUGUCUCAGGAGCUAAAGAACUCCCUAUCACCAGAGGUGUUCAAAGAUAACUGCACAGGGAAGGCAAUGGGAACUCAACAAUCAAUGGAGCUUGGAUACCAGACAUCUAUGAUUCUAUGCAAGAAAAUAUCAGAAAUGUUGUAUUAUGAUAUACUUUUAGAAGGAUCCACAUAAUUGCUUUAA